GAAAUCCAGAUGGUGCCUCCGACAGCUCCUCCUCACCAGCCUGGGCUCAGCUCUCACAUUCUCCCUCCUCUGACAAGGCUCAGAGCCCGUUUGGAAUGUGCUCAGGUCCUGCAGACGGGCGAGAUGUGCUUGGAAAGGCCAAACUACGCAAUUAGCGCUGUUUAAAAUUAAUGGUGGUGGUGAUUAAGAGGCAGAAAUACUGCUCCGGAAAUAAUCAGUGAGAAGUGUGGACUGUCUGGAAUGAGUAAUCCCAGCUGUGGCUGCAAUGGCCUGGGGUGCUCCUGGAAUGAUUAAUCGUUCAAGUGUGAGAAGCCACAUGAGUCAAAUUCUUGGCGCUGUUUGUGUCAGAGAGGAGGAAUGCUGCAUUCCCAGCACCACACCCACUCCUUUAAUCCCUCUGGAUUCACAUCAAAUGUGUCCCGACAAGAGUUUCCUUGGGGGAAUGCUGUGAUCCAUGUCCAUGUGCAUCCACCUGACAGGAAACUCAACGCUCCAGGUCUUGCACCUCGAACCGGCUGGCAUUGAUUUAGAUAUUCUGCAGAACAGAGCCUUUCCCUGGGAAAAAAAAAAAUCCAUGGAUUAAAAAGUGCUUUAAAAAAUGGCUCUGGGUUUACACUAAUGGAAAUGUGAAUUAUUCAUCCCCAAAAGAAAGGAAAACCCACUAUUUCUCUUGGUUUUUUGCUUAAAAUGGGUCAGAAAUGCUCCAAGGACCCAGCAGCAGCCACAGAUUCUCUGGGAAUUCAAUCCCAGCCCCUCAUGGGAGGAAUUCCCUCCUAAAAUCCAGUGUAAGCUUCCCCUUGUCUCAGUUUAAACCCCUUUGUCCCACCCGCCCUUCCAUGAGUGAAGAAUUCCACCCUCCACAAUAACCAACCCCUCGCCCAGCUCUGGGAGCAGGUGCUGGGAAAGGCUGAAACCAUCCAGUUUUGGAAAAGAGAGGAAGUUUGGGCUUCUCCUGGGUCUCCUGGAUGCCAAGACAUCCUGGAAGGCGGCAGCUCCGUCCCAGCCUGGAGCACCCAGCGCUGGUGUCGGAGCUCGCAGGGGCGGCAGAUUUCCUCCCGCUGCCUCGUGUGUGAGCAGCUCCCCAGGCUUGGAGAGGGAAUGGGUGCGACUCCAACCCUCAGCUGCUGCUCCCAGCCCCUGUCCUGCUCUCCGGGCCAGCUCUGAGCCAGCACCAGGCAGGAUGGAUCCUCCACAGCUCCAGGCGCGGAGCGGGUGUGAGAAGUCGCACCCCGAGGAGCUGCUGAUGGAUCUUUCCAGCCUGAAAACCGCCUUUUCCCUGCUCCUGCUUUUAGCCAGCAGCUGUCAGGGAAGAUUAGAGGAGGGAAGGUGACGUGGAAUGAAGAAAAGGAGUGCUGAGAUGGGGAUAAAGCCCCAUCGUGGCACUGCUGGGUGUCAGAUUUCUGCUUCAUGGCCUUACCUUGUUAGCAAAGAAAAACAAAAAUCCCCAACACCAGCAGUAAAAUCAGCUCCUGGGUGACCCAGGCAUUUUCUUCACAGAGAAAAUGGGGAUAUUUCAAGUAAAUUGCUUUUGCAAGCAAACUGCCACCUUUCAGCACCUCCUUUCAGCCCCUUCGAGCCAAACUGGUGGGGAGAAGGUGAAGGUUCCUUGCCCCCACGCCACCAACCCCUUCUCAGGAGUCAGCUGAGAUUCCCAGGGGAAUUCCUUGGAAAACUGUCCCAGUCCUUGGCUCUGGUGUGUUUGACAUCCCAGAUCAGCAUCAGCCAGGCUGGAGAGGGGCAGUGAGGCACUGGAAUGGAGAGGAUGUGGGAGCACUCCAGGUGAAAAACCUCUGGCAGUCCCUUUCCAAGCAAACCCUCCUGGGAUAUCUCAGGAAGGCUUUCAGAGGAAAAUCUUGGAGCAAUUUGGGAAGCCAAAAUUCCCAGAGGAGCUGUGGCUGCCCCAGAAUCCUUGGAAGUGUCCAAGGGCAGGUUGGGGCAACCUGGGGCAGUGGGAGAUGUCCCUGUCCGUGGUGGCACUGGAUGGACUUUUAAGGUUCCUUCCCACCCAAACUAUUCCAGGCUUCCAUGAUUUUUCAUCUCUGUGGCUGCAAAUCCACAGAUGGAGCUGGAAUCACUUCCAGGCAAUUCCAGACUCAUCUCAGGGGUUUGGUCACAGAGUUUUGAGCUCUGGUGACCACAAAAAAAGCAGAGGCCUCUGGUAAUGGACAAGGGGACAUUGUCUUGCAGCUCUAAAUGGCAAGGACAACAACCUGGGAGCCCCAGGACUGAGCUGGGCAUUUCUUGGCAUUUGGAAACGGCCACAGGUUGUGCCAGGGGAGGCUGAAGUUGGAUAUUGGGAACAUUUCCUCCCAUAAAGGGCAGUGGUGCAGUCCCCAUUCCUGGGGGGAUUUAACACCCUGGGGAUGUGGCACUUGGGGACGUGGUCAGUGUGGCCUUGGUGAGGCUGGACCUGAUGACCUUACAUGGCUUUUCCAACCCAAACAAUUCCUGAUUCCCUGAUUUCUGUUGUGAUUUUUCAUGGUAUAACUUCAGCGAAGAAGC